rnacentral:tRNA from 1 species
CGGCUGUUAAUUCACAUUUAACGCCUGCAAGGUGACCUAAAUACAGUAGGUCUUCGUUGUACUCGUCACGGCAACG